UACGUAGGGUGCGAGCGUUGUCCGGAAUUAUUGGGCGUAAGGGCUCGUAGGCGGUUUGUCGCGUCGGGAGUGAAAACUCAGGGCUUAACCCUGAGCCUGCUUCCGAUACGGGCAGACUAGAGGUAUGCAGGGGAGAACGGAAUUCCUGGUGUAGCGGUGAAAUGCGCAGAUAUCAGGAGGAACACCGGUGGCGAAGGCGGUUCUCUGGGCAUUACCUGACGCUGAGGAGCGAAAGUGUGGGGAGCGAACAGG
rnacentral:rRNA from 1 species